UAUCCUAAGGAUCAAGGAAAGUAAGUCCACAAGUUGAGAUAACCAUGAAUUCUAUAGUCAACUACACAACAUUUCAAGAGGUCCAGCAAAAAGUUUUUAAAGCCCCAAGAUGCUGUUUUACCUCUGUCUGGAGGGUCCUGAAUGCAGGAAGCGUGCCUUCCAGUGAUAUCCUCAUUUUCUGGAACUGCAGAAAGCAAGAAUUAUUUUAGUGGCACACAGUUUGUGGGCCUGCCAAAUAAUUUUCCUAUUUGACAGUUUCAGCAAUAGGGAUUUGGCUAAGGACACACAGGAUUCCAGGUGCCUAUCAUAGCACUUGAUUUGAGUUGUUGUGCUUGAAAAUUGAUUCAUCUGUAUUUGCAACCAUGUCUGAAUGCUGAUGCAGUUGUAGAACUGGAAUGGAAUCUGAAUACAGUGUCUAAAUCUCAAUAUCCUAAAUUGGGGGCAAUUGUCAAUUGUUGGAUUUAUGAAUUAGAAGAGUGUUACCAAAUGCAGAAGUGUGAUUAUACAAUACUAUUUAAAGGAAGUAGAAUAAUAAGAGUUGAAAACCAUAGUGACUGUGAGUUUUGUUUUCUUGUGUGUUAGUUUAGUCUGUAAGUCUGUAUAGGUAUGUAUUUUAUUUUUGUGUUUGUGCUUUGAUGCAGAUCUGUACUUAGUUGUAGUAGGUGAAAUGGAACUGUGUAAUUUUAUCAUCAUAUAAGACAAAAUCUUGCGUAUUUGCAUUAUUACUAGCGUUAUAUUAUGCUAUUUCUUUCUUGAAUAAAAAUAUUGAUAUCCUAAAUUCCUUAUAAAGAAAUAAAAAUUAACUUCCUUA